rnacentral:lncRNA from 1 species
AUGGAGGUGACCGUUAGUGACAGUGCUGCUGAAAUAGUAACAGUUGAAACAAAUGCAAGAAGAACCUCUAGAGUUACAGAGGAACAUCAAGAAAAGAAGGGUUUGUGUCCGUCAGAAAAAGAUAGUGCGGUUAUAUCUGCAAAGUUAGACUUACCAAUUGAAUUUAGUAGAUCAGACUAUACAUCAGCUGUGCCAAAUGAGACAUGCUCUCCUACUGUUCAGAAUGAAGUGGAAAAUGGGCAGCAAACAGAGUCAAUAACUGCACGCAGGAAGACUCACGUCACCUCUCGUACUAAAAGUAGCAGACGUACAGGUCAACGGAAAGAACCAUACCCAGAUCCAAGAAAAACAUACGUAAUCUCCCAAGAUCCUCCUUAUGACAUUUUUAACGAUUGUUUUAGUGAUCUCGAGCUUCAGAAUUCUGAAAGAAGCAAGGCAAUUGAAAAUACUUCAAGUAAAGCUGUUAAAAACAAAGCUAAAGAGUCCCAUGCUACGCAGGAACCCAGGAGAACAUUUAUAGUUCAAGAUGAGCUAAGACCUCAGAAGAUCAGGAAGACCAAAGUUUUGUCCCUUAUGAUGGAUCACGGUUUAUCUGAUGUUCAUGAAAAUGUCCAGUCUGCCAGUAGUUUAUGCUUCGAGUCUGCUUGUACUGAUGUGCAUGUCGGUGAGACCGCUGUUCAAAAACAUAAAAACAAAACUCCAGCACACCCACUUCCUCAGUCUGAAAAGUGCAAGACACAGAAAAACAGAGGAACAUUUGUGAUACAGGCAAGUAAAUCAUUCAUCAACAGGAAUUCAUUUUUGGAUGAAACCAAUAUAUUAGAGGAUCCCAACAGACCGGAAGGUUUGCAGGAAGUAAUAUCAGAAACCCAAACAACACCUCUCAAUAUUGGUUCAGAUAAUGUUGCCCAACAGCACAAGGCGCCAGAGCAUGAUUUUCUUCAUAAGAUAUUGACAGAAAACACCUAUCAUCCAGAAUGUUCACAAGAUGUGAGUGCCAACCAUGUACAGGAACCCUCUGAAUUUACGUCAUCAGUGGCUGGUAAAGCCAAAAAAACACAGAAAAGAGGGGGAAGAUAA